rnacentral:rRNA from 1 species
UACAGAGGUCCCAAGCGUUGUUCGGAUUCAUUGGGCGUAAAGGGUGUGUAGGUGGCGCCGUAAGUCGGGUGUGAAAUCUCGGGGCUUAACUCCGAAACUGCAUUCGAUACUGCGGUGCUUGAGGACUGGAGAGGAGACUGGAAUUCAUGGUGUAGCAGUGAAAUGCGUAGAGAUCAUGAAGAAGACCAGUGGCGAAGGCAGGUCUCUGGACAGUUCCUGACACUGAGACACGAAGGCCAGGGGAGCAAACAGG